rnacentral:rRNA from 1 species
GACAGAGGGUGCAAACGUUGUUCGGAAUUACUGGGCGUAAAGCGCGUGUAGGCGGCUAUGCAAGUCGGAUGUGAAAGCCCUCGGCUCAACCGGGGAAGUGCACCCGAAACUGCAAAGCUAGAGUCUCGGAGAGGAUCGUGGAAUUCUCGGUGUAGAGGUGAAAUUCGUAGAUAUCGAGAGGAACACCGGUGGCGAAGGCGGCUCACUGGACCGGUACUGACGCUGAUGCGCGAAAGCGUGGGGAGCAAACAGG